GCUGCGGCUGGCCACGGUGUUGCCGCUGCUGCUGGUGGCCGCCGAGGGGUUGAACAGCACGCCACAUCCGGUGGUGCCGGCCCAGCCCGCCGCG
rnacentral:tRNA from 1 species